rnacentral:rRNA from 1 species
AACGAACGCUGGCGGCAGGCCUAACACAUGCAAGUCGAACGAACCGUUUACGGUGAGCGGCGCACGGGUGAGUAACACGUGGGAAUAUACAUUUCGGUAAGGAAUAACGUAGAGAAAUUUACGCUAAUACCUUAUAAUGACUACGGUCCAAAGAUUUAUCGCCGAAGGAUUAGCCCGCGUUAGAUUAGGUAGUUGGUAGGGUAAUGGCCUACCAAGCCUACGAUCUAUAGCUGGUCUUAGAGGAUGAUCAGCCACACUGGAACUGAGACACGGUCCAGACCCCUACGGGAGGCAGCAGUGAGGAAUAUUGCGCAAUGGGGGAAACCCUGACGCAGCCAUGCCGCGUGAGUGACGAAGGCCUUAGGGUUGUAAAGCUCUUUCAGAUGUAAAGAUAAUGACGGUAACAUCAGAAGAAGCUCCGGCUAAAUUCGUGCCAGCAGCCGCGGUAA